UACGGGGGGGGCAAGCGUUGUUCGGAAUUACUGGGCGUAAAGGGCUCGUAGGCGGCCAACUAAGUCGAACGUGAAAUCCCUCAGCUUAACUGGGGAACUGCGUCCGAUACUGAUUGGCUUGAAUCCGGAAGAGGGAUGCGGAAUUCCAGGUGUAGCGGUGAAAUGCGUAGAUAUCAGGAGGAACACCGGUGGCGAAGGCGGUUCUCUGGGCAUGUCCUGACGCUGAGGAGCGAAAGUGUGGGGAGCGAACAGG
rnacentral:rRNA from 1 species